rnacentral:tRNA from 1 species
GCACCCGUGGUGGAAUUGGAUACCAUAAAGGCCUCCGACGCCUUCGGUUCGGGUUCGAGCCCCGACGGAUGCACCA